UCGUGUCACCAAAUCUCCUUCUCAAAGCCUGAUCUCAUCAGAUCUCAGAAGCUAAGCAUGGCUGGGCCUCAUUAGGACUUGGAUGGAAGACCGCUGGGAAUAUCAGGUGCGACCGUGGG
rnacentral:rRNA from 1 species